AUUGAUACUAAGCCAUGCGAGUCAUUGUAGCAAUACAAGGCAUACGGCUCAGUAACGCGUAGUCAACCUAACCUAUGGACGGGAAUAACCUCGGGAAACUGAGAAUAAUGCCCGAUAGAACACUAUACCUGGAAUGGUUUGUGUUCCAAAUGAUUUAUCGCCGUAGGAUGGGACUGCGGCCUAUCAGUUUGUUGGUGAGGUAAUGGCCCACCAAGACUAUUACAGGUACGGGCUCUGAGAGGAGUAGCCCGGAGAUGGGUACUGAGACACGGACCCAGGCCCUAUGGGGCGCAGCAGGCGAGAAAACUUUGCAAUGUGCGAAAGCACGACAAGGUUAAUCCGAGUGAUUUGUGCUAAACGAAUCUUUUGUCAGUCCUAGAACCACUAACGAAUAAGGGGUGGGCAAGUUCUGGUGUCAGCCGCCGCGGUAAAACCAGCACCUCAAGUGGUCAGGAUGAUUAUUGGGCCUAAAGCAUCCGUAGCCGGCUCUGUAAGUUUUCGGUUAAAUCUGUACGCUUAACGUACAGGCUGCCGGGAAUACUGCAGAGCUAGGGAGUGGGAGAGGUAGACGGUACUCGGUAGGAAGGGGUAAAAUCCUUUGAUCUAUUGAUGACCACCUGUGGCGAAGGCGGUCUACCAGAACACGUCCGACGGUGAGGGAUGAAAGCUGGGGGAGCAAACCGGAUUAGAUACCCGGGUAGUCCCAGCUGUAAACUAUGCAAACUCAGUGAUGCAUUGACUUGUGGUCAAUGCAGUGCUGCAGGGAAGCCGUUAAGUUUGCCGCCUGGGAAGUACGUACGCAAGUAUGAAACUUAAAGGAAUUGGCGGGGGAGCACCACAAGGGGUGAAGCCUGCGGUUCAAUUGGAGUCAACGCC
rnacentral:rRNA from 1 species